rnacentral:tRNA from 1 species
UGGUACUUAGUUUAAAAUAAAAUAAAUGA